CGAGGUGGAAGAGGUUGUGUUGGGACUGGUUCUGAUUGAUUAGGUUCCUCAGAUUCUUAAGCACGUUGCUCUUGGGAGACAUUCUCCUUGAGCUUAACUAUUCUUCCGAUGCCACCAUCUUGAAUAAACUAUUUUUCAAGAAAAAUAGCAUUUCGACUCACAAUCACAUUGUGGUCUUCCGGAAUAUAGAAAUAGUAUCCUAAUGACUCUUUAGGAUAUCCUAU
rnacentral:lncRNA from 1 species